rnacentral:lncRNA from 1 species
AUUCUGCUCUGUUAUUUGAAGUAUCAAAAUUGAAUCUCAAAGCACGUUUAGUGACAACAUCUUCUGGGUUUGCUAGAAUCAAACCAGCUCCACUUUCUUUCGAAUUAGAGGCUCCAUCAACAUGCAAUAUCCAGAAAGAGUUUGUAUUGAUAUUUUCAAAAUUCUCUGAGACUGGUUCUUCAUCGGGAAUAGAGCAUUCAACAAUAAAAUCAGCUAGCAUUUGAGCAUUCAAUGA